AUGCUCUGUAUAAACUGAGCACUUGCAUUUGCAUCCCUGAGAGCUUUGGCGCCGAUGAAACCCCCAUUGAACUUCUACUACGUUAAAAACUUAGCUUAAAUGGACACAAUAGUAGGUGUCCCAUCCGUAAGAGCAACUUUAAGAAUCAAGACAUCCCUAGGACGUUGGCAUUUGUGAGUGCUCCAAACUAUAGUUGUUGGAUGUCACGAUCAUACAUUUUCAACCGUGUGACAAUGUGAUCUUGACACGCUUAUAACAAGUU